rnacentral:rRNA from 1 species
CCUACGGGAGGCAGCAGUAAGGAAUUUUAGACAAUGGGCGAAAGCCUGAUCUAGCAACGCCGCGUGGACGAUGAAGGCCUUCGGGUCGUAAAGUCCUUUUCUGUGGGAAGAUCGUGACGGUACCACAGGAAUAAGCAUCGGCUAACUACGUGCCAGCAGCCGCGGUAAUACGUAGGAUGCAAGCGUUGUCCGGAUUUAUUGGGCGUAAAGAGUGCGUAGGCGGCUUCUUAAGUGGGGCGUGAAAUCCCCCGGCUUAACCGGGGAGGGUCGUCCUAAACUGGGGGGCUUGAGGGUAGAAGAAGAGAGCGGAAUUCCUGGUGUAGCAGUGAAAUGCGUAGAGAUCAGGAGGAACACCGAUGGCGAAGGCAGCCCCCUGGGUUGGCACUGACGCUCAUGCACGAAAGCGUGGGGAGCAAACAGGAUUAGAUACCCUUGUAGU